UGGGGAAUAUUGGACAAUGGACCGAGAGUCUGAUCCAGCAAUUCUGUGUGCACGAUGAAGUUUUUCGGAAUGUAAAGUGCUUUCAGUUGGGAAGAAAAAAAUGACGGUACCAACAGAAGAAGUGACGGCUAAAUACGUGCCAGCAGCCGCGGUAAUACGUAUGUCACGAGCGUUAUCCGGAUUUAUUGGGCGUAAAGCGCGUCUAGGUGGUUAUGUAAGUCUGAUGUGAAAAUGCAGGGCUCAACUCUGUAUUGCGUUGGAAACUGUAUAACUAGAGUACUGGAGAGGUAAGCGGAACUACAAGUGUAGAGGUGAAAUUCGUAGAUAUUUGUAGGAAUGCCGAUGGGGAAGCCAGCUUACUGGACAGAUACUGACGCUAAAGCGCGAAAGCGUGGGUAGCAAACAGGAUUAGAUACCCUGGUAGUCCACGCUGUAAACGAUGAUUACUAGGUGUUGGGGGUCGAACCUCAGCGCCCAAGCAAACGCGAUAAGUAAUCCGCCUGGGGAGUACGUACGCAAGUAUG
rnacentral:rRNA from 1 species